GAAUGCAGCUGUUGUAUUCUAUGAAGUUAUUAUGUUUAUAGAUCUUUCAGCACCAGGAAUCCUGGAUAAGUUUGUCUGGUCUCAAGCACACACAGGACAAGUUAAAGGGAGCCUGUGGAGAAGAAAGUAAAGAGGGAAAGAGGAGAAAUAAACAGAAGAGCGAUUCGUCGUUCCAGAUGGACACACACAGCAGCGCGUGGCUUGGUUGGGAUGCUGCUGUGUGUCAAAGAUCGAGGUGGAACUUGGGCAUUUGAAUAAGGAUAUCCGCCUGCUGCAGUGUGUGUUGCUCAAGAACACAAGCAUGACAUGGAUCUGUGUGCUUAAAAGGUUAAGAGAAUAUGUUGUUGUGAGGAUCAUGUAUGACCUGUACUUAUUAUUCUGUAUAUGGUUGAAUAGCUGAGAAAACGUUGCAGUAAUUAGAAACAAAAAUAACAUUAUUGCCUAUAUUCAAUAACUGCCCUUUAGCGCUAUUCUGACCUACAAUGCUCCACCUCCAUUUGAUGGUGCCUGUCUUGUUUCGUACUCGCUCCCUUUUUCUUUUUCUACAACUAGUUUUCUACUGUCUAUAAAUCUGAUUUUCUGCUGUGCAAACUUAUCUCACUAUUCAUUUCAGUCGGUCUGUCUUUUACUGCCUGUGGCCCAGUUUUCAUCGCAGCUUAGAGACAGUUGUUGAAUACUUUUUUAUUGUUUUGCCAAAAGGUGCCUAUAAAAUUCCUGACUCUUUGGGAAAAGGACACGGAAGUCAGAACAUACAGUAUUUGAAAGAGAUUUUAGCUUAUCCACCUCAACAAAAAAACAAAAAACAGGUACCUAAGUAGUCUUUGGCUUUGUAUUUGUAUCCUGGUGUAUCCCAGACACGGGUCAAAUGUAAGAUAAUGUAAUAGAACAUACUGUCGAUAGUUAAUUCAGUAUUGUUCAAGGACAUUCAAUAAGUUAAUCACGUAACAACAGUUCGAAAUGAACUACUGCAGCGCAAAAUACAUCUUCAGCAGCACAAAGCCAGAGCAGCAGGGGGUCUGGUUUAAUAAGAAUUCCUAAUGAUCAAGGUAAACACAACUUUAACUACUACAUUAAUUAAGGGCACUGUCUUGACAUUCUCUGAAUGGAAAUCUUUAUCCACACUUGUAUGCAAUUACAUCCUCCCUGCAUGUUUUAAUUCAAAAUGUAAAUAAAUGCAUCAUUCAUAUUCUAUAAAAAAAAAU